rnacentral:lncRNA from 1 species
CUGUUCUUAAAAGAUCCAGGCCCCAGCCACAAUCCGCUAGGCCUUGGAGAGACUAAACCUCGAUCCAAACUCCAGUCUAUGCUAGUGUAGUCCAACUGAGCCAUUGAGCCCGCCGUGCUCCAGUCAACUGGAGAAGAGGCCCCUGAUGAACCAGCUGAUCCACCCAAACCAGAGAAGAGUCCAAGCGAUGAAGCAGCAGCAAGUGUAGAUGAUGCACCUGUUCUACUCCAUAAGCCAUUUCCUCUGCUGGUUCCAGGAGAAUCCCCAGGACCACUGCCAGGAACGAAGUGUUGCGGUUGCUGAUAAUGAA